rnacentral:rRNA from 1 species
AGCGUUGUCGGGAUUAUUGGGCGUAAGCGAGCGCAGGCGGUUUCUUAAGUCUGAUGUGAAAGCCCCCGGCUCAACCGGAGAGGUGCAUUGGAAACUGGAAAACUUGAGUGCAGAAGAGGAGAGUGGAAUUCCAUGUGUAGCGGUGAAAUGCGUAGAUAUAUGGAGGAACACCAGUGGCGAAGGCGGCUCUCUGGUCUGUAACUGACGCUGAGCUCGAAAGCGUGGGGAGCAAACAGGAUUAGAUACCCUGGUAGUCCACGCCGUAAACGAUGAGUGCUAAGUGUUGGAGGGUUCCGCCCUUCAGUGCUGCAGCUAACGCAUUAAGCACUCCGCCUGGGGAGUACGACCGCAGGUUGAAACUCAAAGGAAUUGACGGGGGCCCGCACAACCGGUGGAACAUGUGGUUUAUUUCGAAGCACCGGGAAGAACCUUACCGGUCUUGGACAUCUUUUGCCAACCCUGGAGAUAGAGCUUCCCCUUCGGGACAAAUGCCAGGUGUGGCAUGGUUGUCGUCCGCUCGGGUGGGGGGAGGUGGGGUUAGGCCCGCAACGGGGCAACCCUUAUUGUUGUUUCCAUCUUUAGUUGGGCCCUCUAGCGAGACUGCCGGUGCAAACGGAGGAAGGUGGGGACGACGUCAAAUCAUCAUGCCCUUAUGACCUGGGCUACAACGUGCUACAAUGGAAGUACAACGAGUCGCGAAUCCCGAGGCUAAGCAAAUCUCUUAAAGCUUCUCUCAGUUCGGAUUGAGGCUGCAACUCGCCUACAUGAGCCGGAAUCGCUAGAAUCGCGGAUAACACGCGCGUGAUCUUUCCGGGGUAAA